AUACGUAGGGGGCGAGCGUUAUCCGGAAUUAUUGGGCGUAAAGAGUAUGUAGGUGGUCUCUUAAGCGCAGGGUAUAAGGCAAUGGCUCAACCAUUGUUCGCCCUGCGAACUGAGUGACUUGAGUGCAGGAGAGGAAAGCGGAAUUCCUAGUGUAGCGGUGAAAUGCGUAGAUAUUAGGAGGAACACCAGUGGCGAAGGCGGCUUUCUGGACUGUAACUGACACUGAGAUACGAAAGCGUGGGGAGCAAACAGGAUUAGAUACCCUGGUAGUCCACGCCGUAAACGAUGAGCACUAGGUGUCGGGGUCGCAAGACUUCGGUGCCGCAGUUAACGCAUUAAGUGCUCCGCCUGGGGAGUACGCACGCAAGUGUGAA
rnacentral:rRNA from 1 species